UACGUAGGGUGCGAGCGUUUGUCCGGAAUUAUUGGGCGUAAAGAGCUCGUAGGCGGUGUGUCACGUCGGCCGUGAAAACCUGCAGCUUAACUGUGGGCGUGCGGUCGAUACGGGCAUCACUGGAGUUCGGCAGGGGAGACUGGAAUUCCUGGAUGUAGCGGUGAAAUGCGUAGAGAUCGGGGAGGAACACCAGUGGCGAAGGCGGCUCACUGGCCCGAUACGUGACGCUGAGGUGCGAAAGCGUGGGGAGCAAACAGG
rnacentral:rRNA from 1 species